GCAACUGGCUCCCCUGGGGCAUUCGGCCGAGUCCUGUUAGUGCAGGUCAGCUCCCUGCCACCCUGUCCUCCUCCCAGGUCUCAGCGUGGGCUGGCCAGGUCAGAGCCAAAGCUCCAGUCCAGGCCCUGGGGCUCCAGUGUCCAGCCAGGUCGCCCUCUUGAGCUGUGGUCCAGGUGCCGUGGGGUGUCGGGUCCAUCCAGUCUGAGGGGACUAGUGCUUGACUGGUCACUUUUAGGUGAGGGCUGGGCUUGUCAAGGGGCUUUUUGUCCUGGCCUGAGCCAUUGGGGGGUGUCCCACUGUGAGAGAAUCCCUUGCAGACCCUUCCUCCAGCCCCCCAGCACUGGGCACGGGGUGAGCCUGUUGGCCCCAGUGCAAUGGUGGGAGCCAGGGUGGGUGAACUCAGUUGAGCACCUGCACUCAACUGAGUGUAGUUGGAGGCCCCAGACCCUUUAGGGUGGGUGUGGGUUGUGGUGUCCAGCUGCCGUGGGCAGUUCUGGGCAGAGCUCUUCUCACUGGGGUACUCCCAGCUAUAUCCACUGUGAUUCAGGGCUGCUCAGGAUCUGUUCAGGACGUCAGGCCUUCCUUGGUGAGCAGUAAGUGAGGGUCUCACGUGAGUAGGGCUGGGUAGACUGGCUCAUUGGGAGGGGGGAUGUGGGCGA
rnacentral:lncRNA from 1 species